rnacentral:rRNA from 1 species
CAGUAGCCGCGGGAAUACGAAGGGGGCUAGCGUUGUUCGGAUUUACUGGGCGUAAAGGGUGCGUAGGCGGAUUGUUAAGUCAGGGGUGAAAUCCCGAGGCUCAACCUUGGAACUGCCUUUGAUACUGUUUGUCUUGAGUUCGAGAGAGGUAAGUGGAACUGCGAGUGUAGAGGUGAAAUUCGUAGAUAUUCGCAAGAACACCAGUGGCGAGGGCGGCUUACUGGCUCGAAACUGACGCUGAGGCGCGAAAGCGUGGGGAGCAAACAGGAUUAGAUACCCGGGUAGUCCCUGUCUCUUAUAC